rnacentral:rRNA from 1 species
AGAGUUUGAUCCUGGCUCAGAGCGAACGUUAGCGGCAGGCCUAACACAUGCAAGUCGCACGAGAAUUGGUCUUCGGACCAUAGUAAAGUGGCGGACGGGUGAGUAACACGUGGAUAAUCUGCCCUUCGGCGGGGGACAACAGUCCGAAAGGAUUGCUAAUACCGCAUACGUCGGCGAGGUCUUCGGAUCUUGCCGGGAAA